rnacentral:rRNA from 1 species
GACGAACGCUGGCGGCGUGCUUAACACAUGCAAGUCGAACGGAAAGGCCCCUUUGGGGGUCCUCGAGUGGCGAACGGGUGAGUAACACGUGAGUAACCUGCCCUUGACUUCGGGAUAACUUCAGGAAACUGGGGCUAAUACCGGAUAGGAAUCCUUGCUGCAUGGUGGGGGUUGGAAAGCUUCGGCGGUUUUGGAUGGACUCGCGGCUUAUCAGCUUGUUGGUGGGGUAGUGGCUUACCAAGGCUUUGACGGGUAGCCGGCCUGAGAGGGCGACCGGCCACAUUGGGACUGAGAUACAGCCCAGACUCCUACGGGAGGCAGCAGUGGGGAAUAUUGCACAAUGGGCGGAAGCCUGAUGCAGCAACGCCGCGUGCGGGAUGACGGCCUUCGGGUUGUAAACCGCUUUCAGCAGGGGCGAAGCUUGUGGUGACGGUACCUGCAGAAGAAGCACCGGCUAACUACGUG